rnacentral:rRNA from 1 species
UACGGAGGGGGCUAGCGUUGUUCGGAAUCACUGGGCGUAAAGGGUGCGUAGGCGGGUCUUUAAGUCAGGGGUGAAAUCCUGGAGCUCAACUCCAGAACUGCCUUUGAUACUGAGGAUCUUGAGUCCGGGAGAGGUGAGUGGAACUGCGAGUGUAGAGGUGAAAUUCGUAGAUAUUCGCAAGAACACCAGUGGCGAAGGCGGCUCACUGGCCCGGUACUGACGCUGAGGCACGAAAGCGUGGGGAGCAAACAGGGAUUAGAAACCCC